GUGCUGGCUUCGGUAGCACAUAUACUAAAAUUGGAACGAUACAGAGAAGAUCAGCAUGGCCCCUGCGCAGGGAUGACACUCAAAAGCACUAUUGGCAGCAGAGAUGA